UGACGUAGACGCUAUUCCCUAAGAUUAACCCAUGCAUGUUUUUGACAUUUGAAAAAUGGACUGCUCAGUAAUACUCACUUUAUUUUAUGUAAAUUUUUGAUUAAUUAACUACGUUAAAGUGUAGAUAAGAUGUUUACAGUAAGAGUGAGACCUAUCAGCUAGUUGUUAAGGUAAUGGCUUAACAAGGCUGUGACGGGUAACGGUAUUACUUUGUAAUAUUCCGGAGAAGGAGCCUGAGAGACGGCUACUAAGUCUAAGGAUUGCAGCAGGGGCGAAACUUGACCUAUGGAUUUUAUCUGAGGCAGUUAUGGGAAGUAAUAUUAUAUUGUUUCAUAUUUUAAAAGUAUAUGAGGUGAUUAAUUGGAGGGCAAAUCAAGUGCCAGCAGCCGCGGUAAUACUUGUUCCAAGAGUGUGUAUGAUGAUUGAUGCAGUUAAAAAGUCCGUAGUUUAUUUUUUUAAGAAGCAAUAUGAGGUGUACUGUAUAGUUGGGAGAAAGUUGAAAUGUGACGACCCUGACUGGACGAACAGAAGCGAAAGCUGUACACUUGUAUGUAUUUUUUGAACAAGGACGUAAGCUGGAGGAGCGAAGAUGAUUAGAUACCAUUGUAGUUCCAGCAGUAAACUAUGCCGACGAUGUGAUAUGGAAAUAUUAAUUUGUAUUACAUAAUAGAAAUUUGAGUUUUUUGGCUCUGGGGAUAGUAUGAUCGCAAGAUUGAAAAUUAAAGAAAUUGACGGAAGAAUACCACAAGGAGUGGAUUGUGCGGCUUAAUUUGACUCAACGCGAGGUAACUUACCAAUAUUUUAUUAUUUUGAGAGAACGGUUUUUUGUUUGAGAAUGAUAAUAGUGGUGCAUGGCCGUUUUCAAUGGAUGCUGUGAAGUUUUGAUUAAUUUCAACAAGACGUGAGACCCUUAUUUUUUAUUAAAGACAGACACAAUCAGUGUAGGAAGGAAAGGAUUAAAACAGGUCCGUUAUGCCCUCUGACAUUUUGGGCUGCACGCGCAAUACAAUAGAUAUAUAAUCUUUAUGGGAUAAUAUUUUGUAAGAGAUAUUUGAACUUGGAAUUGCUAGUAAAUUUUAUUAAAUAAGUAGAAUUGAAUGUGUCCCUGUUCUUUGUACACACCGCCCGUCGCUAUCUAAGAUGAUAUAUGUUGUGAAAUUAUUGAAAACUACUUAAACAAUAUGUAUUAGAUCUGAUAUAAGUCGUAACAUGGUUGCUGUUGGA
rnacentral:rRNA from 1 species